GCAGGAAGAGCAAGAAGAGCAAGAGGACCAGGAGGACCAGGAACACCAGGAGGAGGAGAAGAAGAAAUAAUGAGUGAUUGUGUCUACGUUUAUGGAAAGAGUUUAGUGGGGUAUUAAUGUUGCAUCUUUGAAGAAAUGUGUACUCAAAGAAUUCCUCAUGUAGAAUCUCACUGUGCUGUCAUCUGAGACUUCAAGUUCAUUACUGAAUCCAUGCUUCCUCUUCGCAUCAUGAGAAGAUCACUACAGAAGAGGAUCACCACACUUAGCUAGUGGUAUUGUAAAAAUCUCUUCAUUAAUGACUUUUAUUUUUGCUUGCUUGUGUAUAAAUUUGAAUGAAACAUUUAUAUUUUCUCAUUUUCUACAAUUUUCCUUAAAUCACCUUUACAUCUAACCAC